rnacentral:rRNA from 1 species
AAACCAACAGGGAUUGCCCCAGUAACGGCGAGUGAAGCGGCAACAGCUCAAAUUUGAAAUCUGGCCCUUACGGGUCCGAGUUGUAAUUUGUAGAGGAUGCUUUUGGCAAGGCGCCGCCCGAGUUCCCUGGAACGGGACGCCACAGAGGGUGAGAGCCCCGUCUGGCUGGCCGCCGAGCCUCUGUAAAGCUCCUUCGACGAGUCGAGUAGUUUGGGAAUGCUGCUCAAAAUGGGAGGUGUAUGUCUUCUAAAGCUAAAUAUUGGCCAGAGACCGAUAGCGCACAAGUAGAGUGAUCGAAAGAUGAAAAGCACCUUGAAAAGAGGGUUAAAUAGUACGUGAAAUUGUUGAAAGGGAAGCGCUUGUGACCAGACUUGGGCGCGGCGGAUCAUCCGGGGUUCUCCCCGGUGCACUUCGCCGCGUCCAGGCCAGCAUCAGUUCGUCGCGGGGGAAAAAGGCUUCGGGAACGUGGCUCCCUCGGGAGUGUUAUAGCCCGUUGCGUAAUACCCUGCGGUGGACUGAGGACCGCGCAUCUGCAAGGAUGCUGGCGUAAUGGUCACCAGCGAC